rnacentral:rRNA from 1 species
GAUGAACGCUGGCGGCGUGCCUAAUACAUGCAAGUCGAGCGAACAGACGAGGAGCUUGCUCCUCUGACGUUAGUGGCGGACGGGUGAGUAACACGUGGAUAACCUACCUAUAAGACUGGGAUAACUUCGGGAAACCGGAGCUAAUACCGGAUAAUAUAUUGAACCGCAUGGUUCAAUAGUGAAAGACGGUUUUGCUGUCACUUAUAGAUGGAUCCGCGCCGCAUUAGCUAGUUGGUAAGGUAACGGCUUACCAAGGCAACGAUGCGUAGCCGACCUGAGAGGGUGAUCGGCCACACUGGAACUGAGACACGGUCCAGACUCCUACGGGAGGCAGCAGUAGGGAAUCUUCCGCAGAGGGCGAAAGCCUGACGGAGCAACGCCGCGUGAGUGAUGAAGGUCUUCGGAUCGUAAAACUCUGUUAGUAGGGAAGAACAAAUGUGUAAGUAACUAUGCACGUCUUGACGGUACCUAAUCAGAAAGCCACGGCUAACUACGU